rnacentral:lncRNA from 1 species
AAACCGAAUCUCUUGAAAGGAACCGAUUCGCAGAACUUGCCCACUACCAGAGCCGUUGGGAAACAUGAAUGUGGCGUCGCCGCAGUGCUCGUCUCCUAUUGGCCAGCUGAACUGUCAGUCAAGGAGCGUCGGCUGGCGAGCUGAGGUGAAUGACAGCGCCGUGCCUCAGCAGUGUACAUACAAGACAAAAUGGGAAAUAAUAUAUCCAGUUGACGCACUGUAGCUACAGCAUUUAGUGAAACGUGGCGGCAGACCAUUAGAGACCGGUUUAGAGAAGACCUCUUCCAUUCUAAACCAAGCUGUGACUGACGGAAGUGAACUUAGGACGGAAGGAGUUAGUGGUUUAGUCACGAAUGGCUUUCGACUCGGUUGGCGGCGACCGCGGCGGCGGUGAGGCUGCGUGGAUCAUGCAUCAGCAGAUGCAGUCUGAUCCCAAGUCUUCCUGGCCUUCCAGCUACAACUCGGACAACAGUCACUGGAACAACGGCAUGGAUUCUCAGUAUCCCGGCUACUCUAAUUAUUGGUAUCCCCAAUCGCACACGGCGGGACCUUAUGGAAGCACAUACCCCCCUGGAACAGAGGUCAACGGACAGGCCUCAUACAAUCCCCAGGUACUGCAGACAUUUCAGGCUUAUGUAACACCCUCUGUCAGUCAGUCAAAUACACAGCAGACUUAUCUCGCUUCACUCUGCCGUGCCCUUUUCAGGCAAUGUCAGGCUAUUCCAAUGGGGUGUACAAUCCAGGACAGUACUCCUCGAGUAUGCUACAUCCCUCCAACCCCUUCUACUGCAGUAACCAGGUUCCUUCAAGACAGCCUCAGUAUCACAGCCAGCCCUGCCCUGAACAAAAUGCGGGGGGUUCAGCUCCUCCCCCCUACCCCGUUCCUCACUGCCAAGGGGUAAAUUCAGUUACAUGUAAACAUAAUAAAAGAUUGUUUAUUUAGUUUUGUACAAAUUUUUGGGUCAAUUGUAAGUAGUGUCCAUAAUAAAGAAAAUUAAUAAUCAUUUAAAAAUCUACUUUAAAACAUGUGCCAAGUUCUUAGUAAUGUAUUCUUUGUAUUCAAAUAAAAAAAAAACAUUUAAAUUUAAUGAUAAACUGUCAUGUGG